GGGUCACACUCAGAAAAAAGAUACGGAAUAUAGCACCAAAAGCUAUAUAAAGGCGGACUUGGACGUAAUAUUGGUACAAAACUAAAAUUAAAACGAAUCUAAGACAUGCACACAUCGCCCGUCACUCUCACCUAAAGGCGAGAUAAGUCGUAACAAAGUAGGUGUAACGGAAGUUGCACCUGU
rnacentral:rRNA from 1 species